rnacentral:rRNA from 1 species
GACGAACGCUGGCGGCAUGCCUAAUACAUGCAAGUCGAGCGAACGGAUGAAGUGCUUGCACUUCUGACGUUAGCGGCGAACGGGUGAGUAACACGUAAGGAAUCUACCUAUAAGCGGGGGAUAACAUUCGGAAACGGGUGCUAAUACCGCAUAAUAUCUUCUUCCGCAUGGAAGAAGAUUGAAGGACUGCCCUGCUGUCACUUAUAGAUGACCUUGCGGUGCAUUAGUUAGUUGGUGGGGUAACGGCCUACCAAGACGAUGAUGCAUAGCCGACCUGAGAGGGUGAUCGGCCACAUUGGGACUGAGACACGGCCCAAACUCCUACGGGAGGCAGCAGUAGGGAAUCUUCCGCAAUGGGCGAAAGCCUGACGGAGCAAUGCCGCGUGAGUGAAGAAGGCCUUCGGGUCGUAAAACUCUGUUAUAAGAGAAGAACAAAUUGUAGAGUAACUGCUACAGUCUUGACGGUAUCUUAUCAGAAAGCCACGGCUAACUACGUGCCAGCCGCCGCCGUAA